UGAACGCUGGCGGCGUGCCUAAUACAUGCAAGUCGAGCGAACGGACGAGAAGCUUGCUUCUCUGAUGUUAGCGGCGGACGGGUGAGUAACACGUGGAUAACCUACCUAUAAGACUGGGAUAACUUCGGGAAACCGGAGCUAAUACCGGAUAAUAUUUUGAACCGCAUGGUUCAAAAGUGAAAGACGGUCUUGCUGUCACUUAUAGAUGGAUCCGCGCUGCAUUAGCUAGUUGGUAAGGUAACGGCUUACCAAGGCAACGAUGCAUAGCCGACCUGAGAGGGUGAUCGGCCACACUGGAACUGAGACACGGUCCAGACUCCUACGGGAGGCAGCAGUAGGGAAUCUUCCGCAAUGGGCGAAAGCCUGACGGAGCAACGCCGCGUGAGUGAUGAAGGUCUUCGGAUCGUAAAACUCUGUUAUUAGGGAUGAACAUAUGUGUAAGUAACUGUGCACAUCUUGACGGUACCUAAUCAGAAAGCCACGGCUAACUACGUG
rnacentral:rRNA from 1 species